rnacentral:rRNA from 1 species
ACUGAGACACGGCCCAGACUCCUACGGGAGGCAGCAGUGGGGAAUAUUGCACAAUGGGCGAAAGCCUGAUGCAGCGACGCCGCGUGAGGGAUGACGGCCUUCGGGUUGUAAACCUCUUUCGACAGGGACGAAGCGUAAGUGACGGUACCUGUAGAAGAAGCACCGGCCAACUACGUGCCAGCAGCCGCGGUAAUACGUAGGGUGCGAGCGUUGUCCGGAAUUACUGGGCGUAAAGAGCUUGUAGGCGGUUUGUCGCGUCGUCCGUGAAAACUUGGGGCUCAACCCCAAGCUUGCGGGCGAUACGGGCAGACUUGAGUACUGCAGGGGAGACUGGAAUUCCUGGUGUAGCGGUGAAAUGCGCAGAUAUCAGGAGGAACACCGGUGGCGAAGGCGGGUCUCUGGGCAGUAACUGACGCUGAGAAGCGAAAGCGUGGGUAGCGAACAGGAUUAGAUACCCUGGUAGUCCACGCCGUAAACGGUGGGUACUAGGUGUGGGUUUCCUUCCACGGGAUCCGUGCCGUAGCUAACGCAUUAAGUACCCCGCCUGGGGAGUACGGCCGCAAGGCUAAAACUCAAAGGAAUUGACGGGGGCCCGCACAAGCGGCGGAGCAUGUGGAUUAAUUCGAUGCAACGCGAAGAACCUUACCUGGGUUUGACAUACACCGGAAACCUGCAGAGAUGUAGGCCCCCUUGUGGUCGGUGUACAGGUGGUGCAUGGCUGUCGUCAGCUCGUGUCGUGAGAUGUUGGGUUAAGUCCCGCAACGAGCGCAACCCUUAUCUUAUGUUGCCAGCGCGUAAUGGCGGGGACUCGUGAGAGACUGCCGGGGUCAACUCGGAGGAAGGUGGGGACGACGUCAAGUCAUCAUGCCCCUUAUGUCCAGGGCUUCACACAUGCUACAAUGGCCGGUACAGAGGGCUGCGAUACCGUGAGGUGGAGCGAAUCCCUUAAAGCCGGUCUCAGUUCGGAUCGGGGUCUGCAACUCGACCCCGUGAAGUUGGAGUCGCUAGUAAUCGCAGAUCAGCAACGCUGCGGUGAAUACGUUCCCGGGCCUUGUACACACCGCCCGUC